rnacentral:SRP_RNA from 1 species
GCUGGGCACGGUGGCUCAUGCCUGUAAUCCCAGCUACUCGGGAGGCUGAGGCUGGAGAAUUGCUUGAACCCAGGAAGCAGAGGUUGCAGUGAGUAGAGAUUGUGCCAUUGCACUCCAGCCUGGGUGACAGAGCGAGACUCUGCCUCAA